GUGGCAGAGAAGGGUCCAGGUUUUUUUCUUGUGAAUUUAAUUAAAGGAAAAUUUCUGGGUGCUUUUCUGCUGU
ensembl:miRNA aca-mir-5412 aca-mir-5412